GUCAAGUAAAGAAAUUGAGAAUUGGUGCCUACCUACUGGGACUGUGUUCCAUUGUGCCAGAAUGGAGGUGGAACAAAGAUAGACACCAUGAUUUGAGCAACUUACUUCCACUAAGACCUUCCACUAUGCUCCCAUUUCUGCCUUGGAGACAGAUGACCAUGGAUGGAAUCCACUGAAACUAUAUCAAAUGUGAAGCUAUUAGAUUCUGGUGCCAUGUCAAGCACAGCUCUUGAGACUGCAGGAGGAGGUUGGUGGAGGAUAAAGAAAUGAAGACAAGAGUCAGAAUGCAGAAGGCUGGUGUCAGGUGAAGCCCACUCUCCUAUGGGAAAAAGGAACUGCCCAACAACUGCAGUGCAUUUAUUUAUACAAUCAGCAGAAGGUAGAUGUCAGUUGGAAGUGAUGGGUGGUCAGUUGGAGUUGGAAGAGCUGUGUUUGGAGGACUCUGCAGAAGACCUUUCUUUUGGAAGGCUUUUCUUUUCUUCUCUUCCCCAAGAGUCCCCUGUGCAGUUUCUUCCAGUGAAGGCCUUCUUCAUCUCAAACCCAUUCCACUCUGAAUGGACUUACUCAUUUAGGCUAAAAAUUCCCAGUCCAAGGAUCUCAGGUUCCUGCAUUCAUCAGUUUAACCCUAUACAGCCUAUUAAACCAUAACAGUAGUCAGUUAUCAGUGUAGCUGGAAAUUGAUAGAAGGUUUCAAUGAGUUACUUUUUAUAGGUAGCAUAUUACUGCGGCAUUGUUUUAUACAUCUUGUGGUUAUAUUUUUUUGCUGGAUGUUCAAGACCAAGUUAAAGUGAGAUGUGUAUUAAUUAAAAUUAAUCUGUUGCUGUCUAUCAGUGUCAAUUAAGUCUCGUCAGGAUUUGCCUUGGAACCAUGUACAGUACCUCUCAGUUCUUCUGUCAGUGUCAGCCAUCUGGAUGAGUCAUGACCAUUGCUUAACCAAGUUGCUUUCUGUGAAAGCUGGAGAGACUUUUCUCUUCUGGUGACUUUUCUUAAACACAUUAUACCACUGAUCUCCUUUCUCUGUGGUCCAGCAGUCUCUUUGGUCAGGAGGUUGAGGACUCACUGAGUUAGAGGAUAUCACAGCAGAGGUUCUCUUAUGUCCUGGGUCUUCACUGACCCCAGAGGGACAGGGCCAAAACAUUGGCUUUCCUCCUAGCUCAUCUGUCUUUCCAGUUUUUGGUCUCCAAACCUCAGUUUUUGAACAUCUAGAAGAGAAGGUUAAUGGCCUUACAAUUUUUACCUGAACAUCAAAUACCUUGAAAUACAAAGCAUAGCCAGAGCACCAUUAUUUGCUACCAACCAUGGAUGUUCCAAAAGUUGAAUCCCUGCAGAAUGUUAGCAGACAACAGUUGUAUAGUUUUACCCAAAAAAUUGAGAUCAAAAGCCAUACAAAAUAUUUAGCAUGGCAGUCAUGGUGAC